AGUCCCAGAAACAUCAAGAGAGAUGAGAGCAUCUCAGACGUGUAGCUUCUUGUCAGCUGUCAUCAGGGCUGUCUUCAUCACUGAGUGUUUGCUGAUGUGCGUGAGGGGAGAUGGAGCAGAUUCUGAAGGAACAUUAGAAAUUAAGUACGUUCUGAUCGGAUGUGGGAUCGGCCUGCUCUUAGUCGGCGGAUUCAUUCUAAUGAAGGUCUGCAACGUCAGGAGGCAAGCGGAGGCAACGGAAUAGGGGAGAUGAUGGAGUAACAGCAUGACAAAAACCCAACAAUGAAGAUGGACUCUAAAUAUUCUGCACUGACUGAAGGAAACGCGUUUCUCUCCACAGCUAUAGGUUCUCAUAACCUUUAUUUACUCUCAACAGUAGCCUCAUUUGAUCGCUUCGAGCCGUCUCAGCCAAUCAGAGUGUCCCGUGACGGCGGUGUCCAGUGACUUGCGAUGUUAAAGGUCAGGCAGAGUGAUUUGCACGAUGAUGCGAACCCUGCAAAAGAGGAACGUGGGUGAAAGGUGAACCAGGCGGCCCGUUGUCUGCUCACGUUUUGUCGCACAGACCUCAGAAUAGAACCUUUAUAUAUCUUUUUUACCUCCUCAUAGCACGCAUCAUUAUAGUGUUCACAGACGGAGCUGUAAAAAUGCAUUUUUAUCUGACUGUGGUGAGUUGUCUUGUUUGUAAAGCUUAAUAAACGAGGUUAAGGCCAUGUAGGAGCCUGAAUA